rnacentral:tmRNA from 1 species
GGGGGUGAAAAGCUUCGACAGCAAUUACUCCCAAGAAAAGCAAGUCGAGUAUUCUGAAACCUCGCUAAACUUUCAGAAAAAAUAAGUGCCAACUUAUCUUUUCAACCUGCUUUAGCUUACGUUUAAAGCAGCGCCGACCUUAAGGAUUCUCGAUAAUUGAGGUUGGUGUCAUCAAUCGAGAAAAGUGUUCUUUAUUUUGGCGAAAGCCAAGGAUGGCAGACAACGUUUUUCGCCUGAUUCAACUUUCUGCCUUCAGUUAAAAUCGGGAUAAGCUUGUAGAUUUUCUUUGGGAAAAAUUUCUGGAUCCGGGUGCAAUCUCGGCACCUCCACCA